rnacentral:ribozyme from 1 species
GAAAGAAAACAAAAACCAAAAAGUCUAAAAAGUAAAACAAUCGAUGAGUAAUUAUAUUUGACCUUUUAUUUUUUUGAAGUGAACAUAAUUUUUCUUC